CCUACGGGAGGCUGCAGUGGGGAAUCUUCCGCAAUGGGCGCAAGCCUGACGGAGUGACGCCGCGUGGGGGACGAAGGCCUUCGGGUCGUAAACCCCUGUCAGAGGGAAAGAAGGCGGCGGCGGUGAACAGCCGACGCCGUUGACGGUACCUUCAGAGGAAGCCCCGGCCAACUCUGUGCCAGCAGCCGCGGUAAGACAGAGGGGGCAAGCGUUGCUCGGAAUCACUGGGCGUAAAGGGCGCGUAGGCGGGUCCGGAAGUCGGUCGUGAAAUCCCUGAGCUCAACUCAGGGGGGUCGGCCGAGACUCCGGGUCUUGAGGGGGGCAGAGGAGCCUGGAAUUCCCGGUGUAGCGGUGAAAUGUGUAGAGAUCGGGAGGAACACCGGUGGCGAAGGCGGGGCUCUGGGCCCACCCUGACGCUGAGGCGCGAAAGCGUGGGGAGC
rnacentral:rRNA from 1 species